rnacentral:lncRNA from 1 species
AAUGUUAUGACUAAACUUAGUUUUAGAUUUCAAUGUGAAAAACCAAGUAAACUGAAUAUAGUCAUCAAUAAAAGAAAUACACCACCGUGCCUUAGAGAUAUUAGAAAUAUAAGAGAGAACUCAAAUAUCACCAAAGAAAAAUCACUUCCUUUAUACUAGGAGGAAAGGUUACAUGUCGGUGGUUUGCUAGUUCACAUAUAUUGCAGUGUAAACUUUCAUUAUUGUAAUUAAAAAAUAAAGUGGGAAACAUGAGCUUAAAGGGAGAGAAAGAAGGGUGUUCUUGUUUCUUAUGGUACAAUCAUAGUUUUUCUAAUGUGCUGGUAGAGAGAAUGGUGGUGGGUACAUCAAGUAUACGCAAGAAAUAUAACUUGUCCUGUGCUUUAGCACAUCCAGUCAUCGUCCCUGAAUUUUGGUCCCGAAAUUCAUAAAGAGAAUGAGAAAAAAUCACUUUACAAUUAAGGCAUGAGGUAAUUU